UACGUAGGGAGCGAGCGUUGUCCGGAAUUACUUGGUGUAAAGGGAGCGUAGGCGGGAUCGCAAGUCAGAUGUGAAAACUAUGGGCUUAACCCAUAAACUGCAUUUGAAACUGUGGUUCUUGAGUGAAGUAGAGGUAAGCGGAAUUCCUAGUGUAGCGGUGAAAUGCGUAGAUAUUAGGAGGAACAUCAGUGGCGAAGGCGGCUUACUGGGCUUUAACUGACGCUGAGGCUCGAAAGCGUGGGGAGCAAACAGG
rnacentral:rRNA from 1 species